UGGGGAAUAUUGGACAAUGGGGGCAACCCUGAUCCAGCAAUGCCGCGUGUGUGAAGAAGGUCUUCGGAUUGUAAAGCACUUUCGACGGGGACGAUGAUGACGGUACCCGUAGAAGAAGCCCCGGCUAACUUCGUGCCAGCAGCCGCGGUAAUACGAAGGGGGCUAGCGUUGCUCGGAAUAACUGGGCGUAAAGGGCGUGUAGGCGGUUUACACAGUCGGAUGUGAAAUCCCCCGGGCUUAACCUGGGAGCUGCAUUUGAUACGUGUAGACUAGAGUGUGAGAGAGGGUUGUGGAAUUCCCAGUGUAGAGGUGAAAUUCGUAGAUAUUGGGAAGAACACCGGUGGCGAAGGCGGCAACCUGGCUCAUGACUGACGCUGAGGCGCGAAAGCGUGGGGAGCAAACAGGAUUAGAUACCCUGGUAGUCCACGCUGUAAACGAUGUGUGCUAGAUGUUGGGUAACUUUGGUU
rnacentral:rRNA from 1 species